rnacentral:rRNA from 1 species
UACGUAGGGUGCAAGCCGUUGUCCGGAAUUAUUGGGCGUAAAGAGCUUGUAGGCGGUUUGUCGCGUCUGCUGUGAAAUUUCGGGGCUCAACCCCGAACUUGCAGUGGGUACGGGCAGACUAGAGUGUGGUAGGGGAGACUGGAAUUCCUGGUGUAGCGGUGAAAUGCGCAGAUAUCAGGAGGAACACCACGGCGAAGGCAGCACUCUGGGCCGGUACUGACGCUGAGGAGCGAAAGCGUGGGGAGCAAACAGG